UACAGAGGUCCCAAGCGUUGUUCGGAUUCACUGGGCGUAAAGGGUGCGUAGGUGGCGAGGUAAGUCGGAUGUGAAAGCUCGGAGCUCGACUCCGAAAUGGCAUUGGAAACUACCUUGCUCGAGGGUUGGAGGGGGGACUGGAAUUCUCGGUGUAGCAGUGAAAUGCGUAGAUAUCGAGAGGAACACCAGUGGCGAAGGCGAGUCCCUGGACAACUCCUGACACUGAGGCACGAAAGCUAGGGGAGCAAACAGG
rnacentral:rRNA from 1 species